GAUGAACGCUGGCGGCGUGCCUAAUACAUGCAAGUCGAGCGAACAGACGAGGAGCUUGCUCCUCUGAUGUUAGCGGCGGACGGGUGAGUAACACGUGGAUAACCUACCUAUAAGACUGGGAUAACUUCGGGAAACCGGAGCUAAUACCGGAUAAUAUAUUGAACCGCAUGGUUCAAUAGUGAAAGAAGGUUUUGCUGUCACUUAUAGAUGGAUCCGCGCCGCAUUAGCUAGUUGGUAAGGUAACGGCUUACCAAGGCAACGAUGCGUAGCCGACCUGAGAGGGUGAUCGGCCACACUGGAACUGAGACACGGUCCAGACUCCUACGGGAGGCAGCAGUAGGGAAUCUUCCGCAAUGGGCGAAAGCCUGACGGAGCAACGCCGCGUGAGUGAUGAAGGUCUUCGGAUCGUAAAACUCUGUUAUUAGGGAAGAAAAAAUGUGUAAGUAACUAUGCACGUCUUGACGGUACCUAAUCAGAAAGCCACGGCUAACUACGUG
rnacentral:rRNA from 1 species